AGGAAAGAGAGGGUUACUCACAACGAAACGUUCGUGAGGGAUUCUUCGACUAUCUAACCAGCUCGUGACGGCAUCGCUGAAGCUUGAUAGAAGCACUACAACAGAAUACUCAACUCGACGCCAUGAAUGAAGAGAAAGUGGAGGGAUGGGGGAGGUGAACGAGCAACGUUGCAAACGGAGAACGAAGAAUUGCAGAAAAGAGAGAGUGGGGAAGACGAAGCCGGAACGGAGCAGAAUUGAGCCGGAUCUGAGCCGAGCGAGACAGAGGAGAAGGGACCUGAAACCUGAAAUUGGGCAUGGAGAGGGAGAGAGGUGGAAAGGAGAUGCAACUGUUUCACCGUUCACCGGCCAAUUGCAAAGGGAAGCGAGUA